rnacentral:rRNA from 1 species
UACGGAGGGUGCAAGCGUUGUCCGGAAUCACUGGGCGUAAAGGGCGCGUAGGCGGCCUGGUAAGUAGGGGGUGAAAUCCUGCGGCUUAACCGCAGGGCUGCCUUCUAAACUGUCAGGCUUGAGCACGGUAGAGGCAGAUGGAAUUCCCGGUGUAGCGGUGGAAUGCGUAGAGAUCAGGAAGAACACCCGUGGCGAAGGCGGUUCUCUGGGACGGUACUGACGCUGAGACGCGAAAGCGUGGGGAGCGAACAGG